rnacentral:tRNA from 1 species
GGAGAGAUAGCUCAGUGGUUAAGAGCACUGCCUUCUCUACCAGAGGACCUGGGUUCAACUCCCAGUAUCCACA